rnacentral:lncRNA from 1 species
UGCUGCUUCCCUCCUCCUUACGCGUGAGAGCACCUGAGGCUGCUCCCGGGGAGGGGGUGGGGGGUGGAAGCAAGAGGAGGAGGGGGAGGAGAAGAAGGAGGAGGACGAGGAGGAGGAGGAGGAGGCGGCGGCGCCGGGGAGGAGCUACCUGAGGAGGCCAUUUGUCGGGGAGGAACGCGGCCGUAGGGGUUUCCUAGCUGGGGCUCGCAGCAUGGUUUGAAGGCAGCCAGGAAGGAUCUUUAAUGGCUCUCCUGGAAGAUGUUCAGCAGCCACUCCCACUGAGUGCAUCGAAUGCUUACACACGGCUCCAGAAGCAAUCUGCAGUGAAGUAUAAGUCUGCAGGGAUUUCAAACCCAAGCACUGACUUGGAGCAGUGGGUUCCUACUUGGAGGGCACCCAGCUGAGAUUAAUGCAGUGUACAUAGCCUGUGCACACAGCAGAAACACAUCGGAAUCACAUCUGCUUCAAAAGUUCCUACAGCCAGACUGCUGUAAGACCUGGGGAAACCAUUCCACGUGCCUGUGCUGAAGCAUUCACUUUUGACCACUGUGAGGACAGUGAAGAAAACGGACCCUCUGUGACUGCUCCUAAAUGCCUCGGGGUGCCCAGUACCAGCCAGUAUUGGGCUCACACGGCUAAGUGUUCAGACAUUUAGGUUCAGCUCCUGUGUUCCUGUCUGCUCUCCUGCCGUCGCCUUGUUCCCUUUGGCUCCUCAGCUCUGUAUGGGAGCAUCACAUCUUCCUGUCGUCCACAAACCUACGGCCUGGGAUCUGUUUUCUUUGUAACGAUACGGCGACAUAUAUAAAGCAGCUGACAUCAGUUCUGAGAAUAUUUUCUCGUAGGUGGAACUAUUAUGUUCACGGUGCUGUAACGCAGAGGCAGUGAUUUGCUAUGCUAAUAAGUCGCUGAAGGAAAACACGGGAAUUAUUCUGACGACGUCUUAUUCCCCUCUAGUGUACGUGGUUGAAAAAGACCAAAGGGCAACAGUGGAUCAGCAAUUAGAGACGGCACUUCUGCUGGGAGCUGUGAAGGAGGUGGGAGGCUGCGGGUUUCUGUUUCUGGAAGGUUCCGUGCUGCUGUUCUGCUGAAGUGCAGAUUGCUGGGCCUCGAGGGCUGCGUGGAAUCCCCAAACUCAGAGCUGUGGGGCUGCGGCACUGAGGGAUGGGCUCAGCGGGCACGGUGGGGGGCUGAGGGCGCUUCUGCAACCUUCGUGGCUGUGUGGUGAUGAAGUACGUGAUAAUGUGUUCGCUCUGGGCUGUGCCUGGUUGCUGAAACGUGGCUUUGAUCCCCAAAAUGUGGCUCUGAUCCCCAAAAUGUGGCUCUGGUUCUUAAACACGGCUCUGUCCAUCUGCUGUGACAAACGCACAGCCAAACCCGAACUUCUUCUUCUUCUGAUCCCUUCCU